UACAGAGGGGGCAAGCGUUGUUCGGAAUUAUUGGGCGUAAAGGGCGUGUAGGCGGCCUGGUAAGUCAGACGUGAAAUCCCCCGGCUUAACCUGGGAACUGCGUCUGAUACUGGGAGGCUUGAGUAUGGGAGAGGGAUGUAGAAUUCCAGGUGUAGCGGUGAAAUGCGUAGAUAUUGGGAGGAACACCAGUGGCGAAGGCGGCUCACUGGACCGGAACUGACGCUGAGGCGCGAAAGCGUGGGGAGCAAACAGG
rnacentral:rRNA from 1 species